AAGUGACCGUAAAGUAAAAAACAGUUAUCUUAAACUUUAAUCUAUUAUUAUUUUACAAGUAAUAAAUAAUUAUUAAAAGUACUGUAUUAAUUAUUUUUUAUCAAGUGUAAGAAGUAUAAAAAUCAUUAAUAAUAUUAAAUCAUGAGCAUAAACACUAAUCCUGUUAUAAUUCAAUAUUCUAUAAAAUAAAUUCUCACGUUGAGAAAUGAAAAUAAUACUCCAUAGCCUUCUCAAAGGUAUCACAUGCUCUAUUAAACCAGUUAUUAUCGCUUUCAUCCAGUUGAUCAACUAGAAAAUAUCAGCCUUCGAGAUUCAAAGCACGUGCUAGAUUUCUCGCGACCGCUAACCGGAAUAUUUCAAGUUUAUCUUCGAAUUUGGGGUCGUCGCCGUGUGCUUCGACGCAGCGUGCUAGUAUGGAUGUGUCUUCACUUGAAAACAAAACUUCAUCACUUUCUAAAAGUGGAAUCGCGUCUGUCAACAGUGUUGACCAAAAACUGGAAAUAUAAAUAGGAAAUUUAGUAAAGAUUUUAAAUAAAUUAUUAUCUAAUAAAAAACUUACUACUUAGGCGUCAAAUUUGAAAUUAUCAGAGCGAUUAAUAAUCGCGCAGCUUCUUUGAAUUCUCUCAUUUCAUACAUUUGAUGGAAUUCGCAGUAUUUUCCUGAU